rnacentral:rRNA from 1 species
UAUUACCGCGGCUGCUGGCACGUAGUUAGCCGGGGCUUCCUCUUGUGGUACCGUCAUUUGUUUCUUCCCACAAGACAGAGGUUUACAAUCCGAGAACCUUCUUCCCUCACGCGGCGUUGCUGGGUCAGGGUUUCCCCCAUUGCCCAAUAUUCCCCACUGCUGCCUCCCGUAGGA